rnacentral:rRNA from 1 species
GAUGAACGCUGGCGGCGUGCCUAAUACAUGCAAGUCGAGCGAACGGACGAGAAGCUUGCUUCUCUGAUGUUAGCGGCGGACGGGUGAGUAACACGUGGAUAACCUACCUAUAAGACUGGGAUAACUUCGGGAAACCGGAGCUAAUACCGGAUAAUAUUUUGAACCGCAUGGUUCAAAAGUGAAAGACGGUCUUGCUGUCACUUAUAGAUGGAUCCGCGCUGCAUUAGCUAGUUGGUAAGGUAACGGCUUACCAAGGCAACGAUGCAUAGCCGACCUGAGAGGGUGAUCGGCCACACUGGAACGGAGACGCGGUCCAGACUCCUACGGGAGGCAGCAGUAGGGAAUCUUCCGCAAAGGGCGAAAGCCUGACGGAGCAACGCCGCGUGAGUGAUGAAGGUCUUCGGAUCGUAAAACUCUGUUAUUAGGGAAGAACAUAUGUGUAAGUAACUGUGCACAUCUUGACGGUACCUAAUCAGAAAGCCACGGCUAACUACGUG